rnacentral:rRNA from 1 species
UGAAUACGAGAUGCUACGGCGUCGAAGCAGUGUAUGUCAGACUUCCAAGAAAAGCUCGCAAUGUCAUAAAUAAAGAAUGCCUGUACCAUAACCGACACAGGUGGGUAGGUAGAGUAUACUAAGGGGCGCGAGAUAACUCUCUCUAAGGAACUCGGCAAAAUAACUCCGUAACUUCGGGAGAAGGAGUGCCUUCUUUAAGAAGGUUGCAAUAACAAGAUCCAAGCAACUGUUUAUCAAAAACACAGGUCUCCGCUAAGUCGUAAGACGAUGUAUGGGGGCUGACGCCUGCCCAGUGCCAGAAGGUUAAAGAAGUUGGUUAGCUUUUGCGAAGCUGAUGACUGAAGCCCUGGUGAACGGCGGCCGUAACUAUAACGGUCCUAAGGUAGCGAAAUUCCUUGUCGGGUAAGUUCCGACCCGCACGAAAGGCGUAAUGAUUUGGAUACUGUCUCGGAGAGGGACUCGGUGAAAUAGACUUGUCUGUGAAGAUGCGGACUACCUGCACCAGGACAGAAAGACCCUAUGAAGCUUUACUGUAACUUGAAAUUGAAAUUGGACUUUAUUUGCGCAGUAUAGGUGGAAGGCGUUGAAAGUAAUCUUGCGGGAUUAGUGGAGCCAUCAGUGAGAUACCACUCCUAUAACGUUAGAUUUCUAACUUUGGAUCAUGAUCUGGUCAAAGAACAGUUUCAGGCGGGCAGUUUGACUGGGGCGGUCGCCUCCCAAAUGGUAACGGAGGCGUACAAAGGUUUCCUCUGAACGGGUAGAAAUCGUAUCUAGAGUGUAAAGGCAUAAGGAAGCUUGACUGUGAGACCUACAAGUCGAGCAGGGACGAAAGUCGGUCUUAGUGAUCUGACGGUGCUGAGUGGAAAGGCCGUCACUCAACGGAUAAAAGUUACUCUAGGAUAACAGGCUGAUCUCCCCCAAGAGUUCACAUCGACGGGGAGGUUUGGCACCUCGAUGUCGGCUCAUCGCAUCCUGGGGCGGUAGUACGUCCCAAGGGUUGGGCUGUUCGCCCAUGAAAGCGGUACGCGAGCUGGGUUCAGAACGUCGUGAGACAGUUCGGUCCAUAUCCGGUGUAGGCGUUAGAAUAUUGAGACGAGCCUUCUUUAGUACGAGAGGACCGAGAAGGACACACCUCUGGUGUACCAGUUAUCGUGCCAACGGUAAACGCUGGGUAGCUAUGUAUGGAGAGGAUAACCGCUGAAAGCAUCUAAGUGGGAAGCCCACCUCAAGAUGAGUAUUCUCAUCACGUAAGUGAGUAAGGUCACGGUAAGACUAACCGUUUGAUAGGCAUUAAGUAUAACUAUAGUAAUAUAUGAGCUGAGAUGUCCUAACAGACCGAGGACUUGAGU